rnacentral:hammerhead_ribozyme from 1 species
GCACUGCUGACGAGUCCUAAAUGGGACGAAACAACUGUCCAGUGC